GAAGAGAUGUUUUAGAAGCAAAAAGCGUGUGUGAAUUGAUUAAAGCAAGGUGGCAUAGUAUGAGUUUCUUUCAUCAUAUAGCGUCUCAAAAGAAAAGGACGAACAGGGUGAAAAGGUUAGAUAAGGGUGACGAACAUGUAACUAGUGAUGCAGGAAAGGUAAAUAAAAUUGCUAGGGAGUUUUUAUAGAGUUAUAUACCUCUUAGGGCUUGUGUGAUUCUGACCAUAUUUUAAGGGGUGUUAAUGGGUGUAUUUUGGAAGACAUGAAUAGACACCCCACGGCUUGAUACGAAAGAG
rnacentral:lncRNA from 1 species